rnacentral:lncRNA from 1 species
GGGUGUUACAUUUUGUGGUUGAUGUAUCUAUUGCGCGAUUGUUAAGGAGUUGAGGAAUUCCGUUUGCAUCUUGUUAGUAGUUAGCUACAAUGAAUCUAGUAGUUGCAGUGAACUGAGAUAUCACUGUCUCAUCCAACCAUUCUUACUGUGUGAGUCUCUCUAAAACAAUUGAAAAUAUGAAGCAGACAAGAGUAUCCAAAAAUGACACAACUAGGAACUGAUAAAUGACAAAUCAAACAUUUAAUUAUACACAUAAAUACGACGGUGACAUAUUCCCCCACCAAAAAAAAAUCAUCCCUGAAUUAUCGUAGAAUGUAUGUCGGCAAAUACCAUGAAUACACUAUACAUAACAUUUAUAAAUUUCGCUCAUUUUUAUCCAUCGUUGCUUCCAUAUGACGUGUCCAUGAGGAACUCAAUGCCUGAGUAGGAUGUACUCCAUCAACUAACAUUGAAUAAAUGUAACGAAUUUUACUUGUACACCUUUUAUAAACAAAAUCGUGUAAGAAAGGGGUUACAACACCAUUUUCUAAGUUCUUCUGUACAAUAUAUAUAUUCACUGAGUGUAAAACUAUAUUUAAUUGUUUCUGCAUUCUCUCGUAAUCAGGCGGACAGUUUUACCAAUGAAUUUCCUGUGAGUGUUCCAUUUCUGGAAACUCAUUGUUGUUAUAGUUGCGACAACAACUUUACAUCCUAUAUUUUUCAUACGUUUUUCAAUAUCUGACAUCGUUUCUUGUAUAAGUGCAACAUGAU